rnacentral:rRNA from 1 species
AUUGAACGCUGGCGGCAGGCCUAACACAUGCAAGUCGAGCGAGCGGCGGACGGGUGAGUAAUGUCUGGGAAACUGCCUGAUGGAGGGGGAUAACUUCUGGAAACGGUAGCUAAUACCGCAUACCAUCAGAGCUGCCCAGAUGGGAUUCGCUAGAAGGGUGGGUAACGGCGCACCUAGGCGACGAUCCCUAGCUGGUCUGAGAGGAAGACCAGACACACUGGAACUGAGACACGGUCCAGACUCCUACGGGAGGCAGCAGUGGGGAAUGUUGCGCAAGGGGCGCAAGCCUGAUGCAGCAGUGCGGCGUGUGUGAUGAAGGCCUUCGGGUUGUAAAGCACUUUCAGCGGGGAGGCGUUACCCGCAGAGGAAGCACCGGCUAACUCCGUGCCAGCCGCCGCGGUAAUAC